GCCUCUGUAGCGCAAUGUUUAGAGCGUUGGACUUCUAAUCCAAAGGUCAUGGGUUCGAAUCCUACCUGGGACG
rnacentral:tRNA from 1 species